AUUGUACGCUGGCGGCAUGCUUUACACAUGCAAGUCGAACGGUAACAGGUUAAGCUGACGAGUGGCGAACGGGUGAGUAAUGCAUCGGAACGUGCCCGAUCGUGGGGGAUAACGCAGCGAAAGCUGCGCUAAUACCGCAUACGAUCUGAGGAUGAAAGCGGGGGACCGUAAGGCCUCGCGCGAUCGGAGCGGCCGAUGUCAGAUUAGGUAGUCGGUGGGGUAAAGGCUCACCAAGCCGACGAUCUGUAGCUGGUCUGAGAGGACGACCAGCCACACUGGGACUGAGACACGGCCCAGACUCCUACGGGAGGCAGCAGUGGGGAAUUUUGGACAAUGGGCGCAAGCCUGAUCCAGCAAUGCCGCGUGCAGGAAGAAGGCCUUCGGGUUGUAAACUGCUUUUGUACGGAGCGAAAAGGCUCUCUCUAAUACAGGGGGCUCAUGACGGUACCGAAAGAAUAAGCACCGGCUAACUACGUGCCAGCCGCCGCCGUAAAAC
rnacentral:rRNA from 1 species